rnacentral:rRNA from 1 species
UACGUAGGUGGCAAGCGUUGUCCGGAUUUACUGGGCGUAAAGAGCGCGCAGGCGGUCGUUCAAGUCGCGUGUGAAAGCCCCCGGCUCAACUGGGGAGGGUCACGCGAUACUGAUCGACUCGAAGGCAGGAGAGGGAAGUGGAAUUCCCAGUGUAGCGGUGAAAUGCGUAGAUAUUGGGAGGAACACCUGCGGCGAAGGCGGCUACCUGGACAGAAACUGACGCUGAGGCGCGAAAGCUAGGGGAGCGAACGGG